rnacentral:rRNA from 1 species
CCUGAACGCUGGCGGCGUGGCUAAGACAUGCAAGUCGCACGGAGGUAGCAAUACCUUAGUGGCGAACGGGUGAGUAAUGAAUCGCUAAUGUGCCCCGGACUCUGGGAUAGCUGCCCGAAAGGGCAGGUAAUACCAGAUGAUAUAACCGAACCGCAUGGUUUGGUUCUCAAAGGUCCGCCGGUCUGGGAGCAGGCGAUUUCGUAUCAGCUAGUUGGUGAGGUAACGGCNCACCAAGGCGACGACGCGUAGCCGGACUGAGAGGUUGGCCGGCCACAUUGGGACUGAGACACUGCCCAG